CCUACGCGUGGCAGCAGUGGGGAAUAUUGCACAAUGGGGGAAACCCUGAUGCAGCGACGCCGCGUGAGUGAAGAAGUAUUUCGGUAUGUAAAGCUCUAUCAGCAGGAACGAGACAAGACGGUACCUGACUAAGAAGCCCCGGCUAACUACGUGACAGCAGCCGCGGUAAUACGUAGGGGGCAAGCGUUAUCCGGAAGCAAUGGGUGUAAAGGGAGCGUAGACGGCUGAGCAAGCAUGAAGUGAAAGGCCGGGGCCCAACCCCCGGACUGCUUUGGGAACUGUACGGCUGGAGUGCAGGAGAGGUAAGUGGAAUUCCUGGUGUAGCGGUGAAAUGCGUAGAUAUUAGGAGGAACACCAGUGGCGAAGGCGGCUUACUGGACUGUAACUGACGUUGAGGCUCGAAAGCGUGGGGAGCAAACAGGAUUAGAUACCCGAGUAGUC
rnacentral:rRNA from 1 species